CUUAGGCGUGUGACUGCGUACCUUUUGUAUAAUGGGUCAGCGACUUAUAUUCUGUAGCAAGGUUAACCGAAUAGGGGAGCCGAAGGGAAACCGAGUCUUAACUGGGCGUUAAGUUGCAGGGUAUAGACCCGAAACCCGGUGAUCUAGCCAUGGGCAGGUUGAAGGUUGGGUAACACUAACUGGAGGACCGAACCGACUAAUGUUGAAAAAUUAGCGGAUGACUUGUGGCUGGGGGUGAAAGGCCAAUCAAACCGGGAGAUAGCUGGUUCUCCCCGAAAGCUAUUUAGGUAGCGCCUCGUGAAUUCAUCUCCGGGGGUAGAGCACUGUUUCGGCAAGGGGGUCAUCCCGACUUACCAACCCGAUGCAAACUGCGAAUACCGGAGAAUGUUAUCACGGGAGACACACGGCGGGUGCUAACGUCCGUCGUGAAGAGGGAAACAACCCAGACCGCCAGCUAAGGUCCCAAAGUCAUGGUUAAGUGGGAAACGAUGUGGGAAGGCCCAGACAGCCAGGAUGUUGGCUUAGAAGCAGCCAUCAUUUAAAGAAAGCGUAAUAGCUCACUGGUCGAGUCGGCCUGCGCGGAAGAUGUAACGGGGCUAAACCAUGCACCGAAGCUGCGGCAGCGACGCUGAUGCGUUGUUGGGUAGGGGAGCGUUCUGUAAGCCUGUGAAGGUGUACUGUGAGGUAUGCUGGAGGUAUCAGAAGUGCGAAUGCUGACAUAAGUAACGAUAAAGCGGGUGAAAAGCCCGCUCGCCGGAAGACCAAGGGUUCCUGUCCAACGUUAAUCGGGGCAGGGUGAGUCGACCCCUAAGGCGAGGCCGAAAGGCGUAGUCGAUGGGAAACAGGUUAAUAUUCCUGUACUUGGUGUUACUGCGAAGGGGGGACGGAGAAGGCUAUGUUGGCCGGGCGACGGUUGUCCCGGUUUAAGCGUGUAGGCUGGU
rnacentral:rRNA from 1 species